AUGAAACACUCCUACGGGAGGCAGCAGUGGGGAAUUCUGGACAAUGGGGGCAACCCUGAUCCAGCAAUGCCGCGUGAGUGAAGAAGGCCUUCGGGUUGUAAAGCUCUUUUGUUGGGAAAGAAAAGAUUCGGGCUAAUACCCAGGAUUAAUGACGGUACCCAAAGAAUAAGCACCGGCUAACUACGUGCCAGCAGCCGCGGUAAUACGUAGGGUGCAAGCGUUGAUCGGAAUUACUGGGCGUAAAGCGUGCGCAGGCGGUUGUGUAAGUCAGAUGUGAAAUCCCCGGGCUCAACCUGGGAAUUGCAUUUGAGACUGCACGGCUAGAGUGUGUCAGAGGGGGGUAGAAUUCCACGUGUAGCAGUGAAAUGCGUAGAUAUGUGGAGGAAUACCGAUGGCGAAGGCAGCCCCCUGGGAUAACAUUGACGCUCAUGCACGAAAGCGUGGGGAGCAAACAGGAUUAGAAACCCUUGUAGUCCGAAGUUC
rnacentral:rRNA from 1 species